UCGAGAAUCAUUCGCAAUGGGCGAAAGCCUGACGAUGCGACGCCGUGUGAGCGAUGAAGGCCUUUGGGUUGUAAAGCUCUUUCGCCUGGGAACAAGAGAAGUGGAUUAAUAAUCCCCUAAUUUGAGGGUACCAGGUAAAGAAGCACCGGCUAACUCCGUGCCAGCAGCUGCGGUAAUACGGAGGGUGCAAGCAUUAAUCGGAUUUAUUGGGCGUAAAGGGCGCGUAGGCGGGAAUGUAAGUCGGAUGUUAAAGAUCGGGGCUCAACCUCGAAAGAGCAUUUGAUACUGCGUUUCUAGAGGGUAGACGGAGAAAAUAGAAUUCCACAAGUAGCGGUGAAAUGCGUAGAUAUGUGGAGGAAUACCGGUGGCGAAGGCGGUUUUCUAGUUUAUACCUGACGCU
rnacentral:rRNA from 1 species